UGGUGUUAUCUGCACUGUUAACAUGUGUUAUUGCAUGGUCACUUUAAAUAUGAAAAAUGAUGUUUUAUUUUGAAAUCCGAACUUGUUUAAGAUAUUUCGGCUUUUUACAGCAACAUUGACGCAUCAACGAACUGAAAUAGAACCCCUGCGUAAAGCUUGCACUGCGAUGUGGAGAGACAUUCUGUUUUUUUGUAUCAACGCAGACGGACCAGUGGAAAUCCUUCUUAAAAGGAUCAAAUUCCAAAGGAUCAAGAGUCAAGGAAAACCACAAACUGUCAGAAAAGUCCAUCCAAUGACAGCUGAGGAGUUCCACACCAAAGAGGUGGAUCAGCUGUCAAGUACAACAAAUGUACAGAAGAAAGGCCAACAGAAACAAGCCCAGAAGCACAUUGUGCUGUGACUGCUUCUUCUGUGUUACUGUAAAGGUUUUUGGAGGCUCAGGAAACAAAAAACAAAACCGGCGUUAUAUUUUUAUAUAUCAAACUUCUGCGAGUGUGUGUGUGCAUGUACCUGUCAUGAGGCGGGACACAAAGGUUUCAGUGAGCUGCAGAAAACCGUGAUCAAUGUACUGCAGGAAGGUGUUGUGAGGGAGGCAGCGGAUCGCAAACACAGCAAACAGGGUGUGAUAGCCUGGAGAGACACAGAGAAAAGAAAAAGAGCAGCAAAUGUUGUUUGUUUGUCUGGAAAGAGUAAAAAAAAA